GGAGUUAGCCGGUGCUUCUUCUGUGAGUGAUGUCCUUCCUGCCGGCUAUUAACCCGCAGGCCUUCUUCCUCACUGAAAGUGCUUUACAACCCGAAGGCCUUCUUCACACACGCGGCAUGGCUGGAUCAGGGUUGCCCCCAUUGUCCAAUAUUCCCCACUGCUGCCUCCCGUAGGAGUCUGGGCCGUGUCUCAGUCCCAGUGUGGCUGAUCAUCCUCUCAGACCAGCUACGGAUCGUCGCCUUGGUGAGCCGUUACCUCACCAACCAGCUAAUCCGACAUAGGCUCAUCCGAUAGCGCGAGGCCCGAAGGUCCCCCGCUUUCCCCCGUAGGGCGUAUGCGGUAUUAGCCUGGGUUUCCCCAGGUUAUCCCCCACUACCGGGCAGAUUCCUAUGCAUUACUCACCCGUCCGCCGCUCGCCACCAGGGAGCAAGCUCCCCGUGCUGCCGCUCGACUUGCAUGUGUUAGGCCUGCCGCCAGCGUUCAAUCUGAGCCAGAUCAACUCUGA
rnacentral:rRNA from 1 species